UGGGGAAUCUUGGACAAUGGGGGCAACCCUGAUCCAGCGAUGCCGCGUGGGUGAAGAAGGCCUUCGGGUUGUAAAGCCCUUUAGGUUGGGAAGAAAAGCUAAUGUUUAAGAGAUAUUAGUGAUGACGGUACCAACAGAAUAAGCACCGGCAAACUCUGUGCCAGCAGCCGCGGUAAUACAGAGGGUGCGAGCGUUAAUCGGAGUUACUGGGCGUAAAGGGCGCGUAGGCGGUAAGAUGUGAGUGAUGUGAAAGCCCUGGGCUUAACCUAGGAAGAGCAUCGCAGACUAUCUAACUGGAGUAUAAGAGAGGGUGGCGGAAUUUCCGGUGUAGCGGUGAAAUGCGUAGAGAUCGGAAGGAACGUCAAUGGCGAAGGCAGCCACCUGGCUUAAUACUGACGCUGAGGCGCGAAAGCGUGGGUAGCGAACAGGAUUAGAUACCCCCGUAGUCC
rnacentral:rRNA from 1 species